rnacentral:rRNA from 1 species
AGAAUCAACGCUGGCGGCGUGCCUAACACAUGCAAGUCGAACGAGAAAGUGGAGCAAUCCAUGAGUAAAGUGGCGACCGGGUGAGUAACACGUGACUAACCUACCUUCGAGUGGGGGAUAACCUCGGGAAACCGAGGCUAAUACCGCAUAACAUCGCAAGAUCAAAGCAGCAAUGCGCUGGAAGAGGGGGUCGCGGCUGAUUAGCUAGUUGGCGGGUAACGGCCCACCAAGGCGAAGAUCGGUAUCCGGCCUGAGAGGGCGCACGGACACACUGGAACUGAAACACGGUCCAGACUCCUACGGGAGGCAGCAGUGGGGAAUUUUGCGCAAUGGGGGAAACCCUGACGCAGCAACGCCGCGUGGAGGAUGAAGCCCCUUGGGGCGUAAACUCCUUUCGACCAAGACGAUAAUGACGGUACUGGUGGAAGAAGCACCGGCUAACUCUGUGCCAGCAGCCGC